UGCCCCGUGGUGUAAUGGCAACACGCCUGACUCUGGAUCAGGUAAUCGAGGUUCGAGUCCUUGCGGGGCAGCCA
rnacentral:tRNA from 1 species